ACUAGGGUAGUAGUAGUUAUGUUCUUGAAACCCAAAGAAUUUGGCGGUAUUUUAUUCUUUUUUAGAGGAACCUGUCCUGUAAUUGAUAAUCCACGAUGGAGAUUUACUUACUCUUGUAUUCAUUUUGUAUACCUCCGUCAUCAGAGUAUCUUUUUAGAGAAAAUAUUCUAUUAAUACAAAAUAAGAUAUGUCAGGUCAAGGUGCAAUUUAUGGGUAAGUAGAGAUGGGUUACAAUAAAUUUAUUUAUACGGAUUAAAAUUAUUAUUAAUUUUAUGAAGGUGGAUUUAAAAGUAAAAUUAUUUUCCUUAUUAAUUUGAUUUUAGCUCUAAAAUAUGCACACAUCGCCCGUCGCUCUUAUUUUAAAAUAAGAUAAGUCGUAACAUAGUAGGAGUACCGGAAGGUGUUCCUAGAA
rnacentral:rRNA from 1 species